rnacentral:lncRNA from 1 species
GACGCGGCGAAGAGGACUCGUCGCCCACCGGCGGAGGUGGGUGGAGGGGCGACUACGUCACGCGACUCGCUGGACAAGGGGGCGGGGGAGGAGGACGGCGACGGUGGGGGCUCACAAGCCGGCGCUGAGACGCGGGUGGAGGAGAAGGAGGGGAGGGCGAUGAGGAAGGGCUUCGACGGAGGGAAGCCGCCGAUAUCAGGGGAGGCGGGGAGGCGGACGUCGACGGAGGGGCGCUGGCGGUGGAGAAGGCGGCGAGGAAGGGCGAAAGGCGACGGCGCUGGACAGGCGACGGAGGCGGCGAGGGAGAUGGACGGCGGCGGAGGUGGGGAUGGGGUGGACUGGCGACGGGAAGUGGUGACGAGAGAAGGAGGGGAGGGCGAUGAGGAAGGGCUUCGACGGAGGGAAGCCGCCGAUAUCAGGGGAGGCGGGGAGGCGGACGUCGACGGAGGGGCGCUGGCGGUGGAGAAGGCGGCGAGGAAGGGCGAGUGCGGCGAGGGAGUGUAG